UGCUGCGGCGGGCGGGCUGCUGCGGCGGGCGGCGGGGCCGUGCGGCCGCGUUCCCGUGCCCCGCCGCCGGGCCGGGACCGGCACCUGAGAGCAGGGCCACGCACCGUGGGCGCUGUGUUCGUUUGUAAGUGGAUGAGGGAAGAGAGUUUAGAACGCGGCACUUGCACCAAUGAGAGGAAAUGGGAAAGGCUGUGUGCCACGGGCAUGCCUCUCUGCCUCCGCAGCUCUGGUUCCUAGGGCUUGAAG